rnacentral:lncRNA from 1 species
CUUCUGGAUGUCUUCUGUUCCAACAGCAUCGUCCCAGUAACAGCACCUGACUCUGGCUCUUCUCGGCGUGCUCAGGACCAGCUGCACUAUGCCCCCAAGGGAGUGCAUCUGGGCAGUUCCCCUACCCAAAGGCCUGUGUCUUAUCUUCAUGAAGCCCCUCCUCUGAACUGCCAGGCCUUGACUGUCCAGAAAGGAGGCCCUCCGGGAUGGGGAUAUAACAUCAGUCUGGUUCUAUCCCUGGGCUAGACUGUAAUGCUGGCAGCCACUAAUGGAAAUGAAAUGUUGGUAUUUCAUGGUAUGGUGGCAACUCAAUUUAUUGUGGCUAAUUGUGAUAAAGUUCCUAUUAAGUCAAUGUCUUAGGGGACCAAAUGCCUGCUGAUCUUGGCUUUCAUGAUAGCAGAGUGAUAGUAGUGAUGACAAUGUCAAGGACACUGAGGUAAG